UACGAAGGGGGCUAGCGUUGCUCGGAAUCACUGGGCGUAAAGGGUGCGUAGGCGGGUCUUUAAGUCUGGGGUGAAAUCCUGGAGCUCAACUCCAGAACUGCCUUUGAUACUGAAGAUCUUGAGUUCGGGAGAGGUGAGUGGAACUGCGAGUGUAGAGGUGAAAUUCGUAGAUAUUCGCAAGAACACCAGUGGCGAAGGCGGCUCACUGGCCCAAUACUGACGCUGAGGCACGAAAGCGUGGGGAGCAAACAGG
rnacentral:rRNA from 1 species